CGUGGAUCGGUCUCCAGUGCAUGUGAUCUUAAAAAUCUCAUGGUGGAUAACGGCGAUUAUUUCAGAUAAUGGCUCCGAUGACAAAUGCCGAAAGGCAGAAGAAAUAUAGAGAACGUUUAAAACAGAAUCCUAUAAAAUAUGAAGAGUUACGAGUAAGACAUUUAGAAAGAGUAAAUCAAUCAAGAAAGCGUGGCAUAAAAAAACAAAGUCAACAACAAAAAGAAAUAACUAGAGAGAAAUGGAGACAAUAUUCAGCACGUUACUAUGCUAAAAAGAAAAAUAAAUCUAGUAAUGAGCAGACAUCGGAUCCAGAAACUACAGAAGAAAAAAAUAAAGAUAAACAG